UACAGAGGUCUCAAGCGUUGUUCGGAUUCAUUGGGCGUAAAGGGUGCGUAGGUGGCGCUGUAAGUCAGGUGUGAAAUUUCGGAGCUUAACUCCGAAACUGCAUUUGAUACUGCGGUGCUUGAGGACUGGAGAGGAGACUGGAAUUUACGGUGUAGCAGUGAAAUGCGUAGAGAUCGUAAGGAAGACCAGUGGCGAAGGCGGGUCUCUGGACAGUUCCUGACACUGAGGCACGAAGGCCCAGGGGAGCAAACGGG
rnacentral:rRNA from 1 species